UUAAGGUACUUCACUACACCUAGACUUGUACUUUUUAAGACACUACGUCACAAGAUGGAGAUUUAAAUGUUUUGCUAAACUGAUUGUAUCAAUCAAUUCAGAUGUAUAUCGUCAUAGCAUCAGGCUUGUGAACCGCAGAUCAUGAGUUCGGAACCGCCUGUGGCUUUUGUUCAUGUUUACUGAAUGAAAUUUUUUAAAAUAUCAUUUUUAUCCAAAAUUCCACAUUUUUUCGCCUAUUUGACAUAUAUACUUCUUAUCCAUCAUGCUCUCUAUCAUAAUCAAGUAAUUUUCUACUGAUUUGAGAAACUAUUUGAAAGUGUAGUGAAGUACCUUAAAUAUGACAUAAUUAAAUCACUAUAUAAUCCAUUCUAUGAUAUGCGUAUCGGACAUGUUUUGAUGUAAGUAAAUCAUAUUCUUAUACUAGUAUACAAAUAUUUUUGUUUACUUCCUGCAAGUUUUGUUUUUUGUUGCCCAAUCUUGCCGAUUGUAGAAGCUGAGAUUUUCAUCGUUAACCUUGCUUAGAAGUGGUUUUCACCACAGAAAUAAUCUGAUUCCAUUUAUAGUUUUUUUUUAUAUCGAAAGAUAAAAUAAACGUGCUACCUCAUG
rnacentral:misc_RNA from 1 species